UACGGAGGGUGCAAGCGUUAUCCGGAUUCACUGGGUUUAAAGGGUGCGUAGGUGGGCAGGUAAGUCAGUGGUGAAAUCUCCGGGCUUAACCCGGAACUGCCGUUGAUACUAUCUGUCUUGAAUAUAGUGGAGGUGAGCGGAAUAUGUCAUGUAGCGGUGAAAUGCUUAGAUAUGACAUAGAACACCCAUUGCGAAGGCAGCUCGCUACACUAUCAUUGACACUGAGGCACGAAAGCGUGGGGAUCAAACAGGG
rnacentral:rRNA from 1 species